UUGUAUUAGAAAAAUAGGAAU
rnacentral:tRNA from 1 species